AGUGAACGCUGGCGGUAGGCCUAACACAUGCAAGUCGAACGGCAGCACAGUAAGAGCUUGCUCUUACGGGUGGCGAGUGGCGGACGGGUGAGGAAUACAUCGGAAUCUACUUUUUCGUGGGGGAUAACGUAGGGAAACUUACGCUAAUACCGCAUACGACCUACGGGUGAAAGCAGGGGAUCUUCGGACCUUGCGCAAUUGAAUGAGCCGAUGUCGGAUUAGCUAGUUGGCGGGGUAAAGGCCCACCAAGGCGACGAUCCGUAGCUGGUCUGAGAGGAUGAUCAGCCACACUGGAACUGAGACACGGUCCAGACUCCUACGGGAGGCAGCAGUGGGGAAUAUUGGACAAUGGGCGCAAGCCUGAUCCAGCCAUACCGCGUGGGUGAAGAAGGCCUUCGGGUUGUAAAGCCCAUUUGUUGGGAAAGAAAAGCAGCAGGUUAAUACCCCGCUGUUCUGACGGUACCCAAAGAAUAAGCACCGGCUAACUUCGUG
rnacentral:rRNA from 1 species